CUAUCACUGGUGGAGAACAAGUCUUCAUGGGAAACUCCAGCGUUUCCGAGAUGAUACGAAUUGAA